CUCCCGGUGGGUGUUUCGGGCCGGACCCUUCUGCCUGCCCCCUCUGCUCCUCGGGCCGGAUCCCUCUGCCUGACCCCCUCCUUCCUUCUUCGGCUAAAGCCCCGGCCCUCCAUGGACAGGACCCUCAGCUAGCUUUUCCAGGCCCUGGGCAGGACCCCGAACUAGCCUUGCUCCCAGCCUGGGGAGCAGCGGGAGGGCGCUCCGAGCUCCCCGGGUCCCGGUUCCCAGGCUGGGCUGUGCCGUACUGGGUGACAGCGCCUGUUGUCGGUUUCCGCUGUGCUGAUGAUGCCCCCUCCAGCUGCCCGGGUCGUGUGGCCCGGCCUGGAGGAGCGGCUCUUUCCGCAGGUGCGGGACCACUUCAGCUUCGAGACCUGUGGCAACGAGACCUUCCCGCAGCGGUACCUGGUGUCGGCAAAGUUCUGGAAGAAAGGAUUUGGACCCAUCUUUUUCUAUACUGGCAAUGAAGGUGACAUCUAGACUUUUGCUCAGAACUCUGACUUCAUAUUUGAAUUAGCAGAGGAACAGCAAGCACUUGUCAUUUUUGCUGAACAUAGGUACUAUGGGAAGUCUCUUCCCUUUGGACUUGAGUCAACACAGUUGAAGAAGACUGCUCUGCUCACUGUGGAACAAGCCCUUGCUGCCUAUUCAGUGCUCAUUACUGAGCUUAAGCAGCAGUUUGGUGCUGCAGACUGCCCUGUCAUCGCUUUCGGAGGCAGGAAUUAGUCUCCAUUUGUGGUUGCUUUGGAGAAGCACUCCUGACUGGAUGUUUCUAAGCUUCUUCAGUAACUGAAUCAUCCAGAGCUGCAGAAAAAAAAUAACUUGGAAAGGGUAAAGGGAAAAUAGCAGCCUUGCCAGUCAUAAGCAAUGGGAUGGUGUGCCAAAACCUGAGGAAACAAGCACUAAUGGGGUCCCUCAAUCUGCUUUCACGAGGUGUUGGCUACAAUGAACCUUGCCUGAAAUGUUUCUACACUAAUGCAUACAGCAUAAGGAACAAACAAGAGGAGCUCAAAGCUUUGGCCCAAGCCCAGAGAUUUGGCACCAUUAGCAAAAGUGAAGUCUGGUAGGAUAAGUCCUGUGACUGGAGUGCCCUGUUGGAUGGUUACAGGCUCUUCAAGAGGGAUUGGGCAGAAGAGGUGAAGCAAUGGCAUUGUAUGUAGUGGAAGGGAUAGAAUGUCUGGAGCUCACAGUUGGCAACAGCGCAGUUGAAAGCCCCUGGGUAAGAAUCACAGGACAAAUAAAUAAUGCAGAUGUCACUGUAGGAGUCAUUGACUUGAUGAAUACUGACUCCUAAAAGGAGAGUGAGGAGUGCCAACCUCCUGAAACUAGUCUUGUUUCCAAUAUAAGAGAAUGACUUCUAGUGCAGGGUGCUUUACAGGGAUUGUUUUUUUUCUCUCUGGUUUAAAAAUAAACAGGCAGACGGAAAGGUGUGAUGCUUACACUAACUCUGAAAGGGCCAGUCUCUGCUUCAUUUUAUGAGAAAUAAAAAUCACAAAUCAAAGCAUACUGAGCAUGCAAGAAGUCUGUAAUGCCAAUUAAAUCAGAGGACAAAUUCCUCUUCCCUGUAUAAGUCAGAUUACCUAUUCUGAGCAAUUGAAAUAAGGAUACUAACUCCAAACAACUGCAGACUGCAACAAUAUACAACUUAGAGCAUGAUUGAA